rnacentral:lncRNA from 1 species
GAAUCUGCAAUGGGUAAAGCUCUGUUGUUUCUGUGCUUAAUUGCUUACUUAAAUCCAAAUAACAAUUAAUAUCAAUAUCAUAUCAAUAAAUUCAAAUUCAUCACCGGGGUAAAGCUGAGGAUUAGUUAGGGUGUGAGAGAGGAGAAGGAAAAUUGUGUUUUGGCUUUGGAAAUUGCUUGAAGAGUCGAGGUAAGGCUGAUGCCGGGUUCUUCCUUUUUUUUUUCUUUUUUUUUUAUCUGGUUUAAAAUGACGCCGUUUUGACUUCAGGUUAAAAUAAAUAAAUAAAGGUGUUUGACCCCAUUUGUCCCUCUGUGCUUCCACCCCUGCUCCUCCUCCCUCACUGGCUAACACUCUCCUUCCUUCCUCUCUCUCUCUCUCUCUCUCUCUCUCUCUCUCUCUCUCUCUAAGUGUGAACCAUAACAAUCAGAGACUGGUCCCCUUGUUGAACUUCAUAUCGGAGGCUCUCCACUGUUGCUAGGCUCCAAUCCAAUUGCCCCGAUUUGUGAGACUCUUCCAGAGUUGAGGACCGAAAGGGCUUCGAUUGGUAUGAACUGAGACUUUUGCAUAGAGAAUACAAGAGAGGUAGGGAAAAAGAGAAAGAGAAGAGAAACAUUAGGGAAAGUGGUCGGCCCAGAGGGUUUUCUAUUUUAUUUUAAGUUUUUAUGAUUUCUUAAUAUCUCUUAUAUGCAAGUAGGAAGUGUCAUGCCAAUGGGUUAUAGUUCAGGUGGUUGGACUCUUUCACCUCCAACCAUAUAGGCAGAGAUUCAAAAAUCCCAAGCACCCACCCAAUGAAUAUUAGUGUAAACCCCCCUUUCUAAACGCUUUUACUAAAAAAAAUGUAGGAGUGUCAUCAUUAAAAAAUAAAAAUAAAACUUCUUCUUGUUGGGUCUCAAUAGAAUUUGGUAGGGGAUUGCACAUCUUUUAGGACCACAUCUAAAAACCUACCUGAAAAAAAAAAUUCAAUGAGAUAAAAAAUCAAAACUACAACACAACAAAAAACCGAGCACAAUGUCUCCGAUAAAACAAUGAAAUGAGGAUGGACUCACUUGUGAUCCCUUCUGGUUCUUUAUGUCCAUUUGCAAUACCAAAUUGGUUGCUGGUAAAUCGACCUUUGAUUGCUUACAUAUGUGAGUGACUUCAACACAAUCAUACAAACACCAAAAAAAGAAAAAAAAAGAAGCAAGUGUCCGAUCUAAGCUGGACUCAAUUGUAUAUACAUAUAUAUAUUUUAUAAAAGAAAAUAAUAUGUCCGCGAUGGCCUUCUGAUAAUUCUUCUAUAAUGAGAGAAUAAGUACUCUUUUGCAUACUAGAAGAAGUCACCAACCUCUGACAUGUUGAAAGGUUUUCAACCGUGAUGAUGAUGACUGGUUUACUUGUUAUUUAUCCCCUUCUAUAUCUUUUUGUAUUUGCUUUCCAUGCAGGAGGCUACCCUUUGGCAGCUUUCAAGAUCUUCAAGGUAUAUAUAUAUAUAUAAUAAAUAUAAGCAUACGUUGAUCUAUAGCAGUCUCCUUAUAGACAAUGACAUCUCUUUGUCUCACACCCUCUUGGUUUGAAUUGAAAUUCAUAUAGUCG